rnacentral:rRNA from 1 species
GCGGAGGAUAAGAAACUAAAUAGGAUUCCCUCAGUAAUGGCGAAUGAACAGGGAUCAGCUCAGCAUGGAAAUUGGGGCCUAUGGCCUUGAAUUGUAGUCUCGAGAUGUACCGCCAACGGAGGCGCAGAUGUAAGCCUCUUGGAAAAGAGCAUCAACGAGGGUGAGAGUCCCGUUCGUCAUCUGCAGUCCCCCGUGUUCGGUGUACCUUCUAAGAGUCGCGUUCCUCGGAAUUGGAGCGUAAAGUGGGUGGUAAAUUUCAUCUAAAGCUAAAUAUUGGUUCGAGACCGAUAGCAAACAAGUACCAUGAGGGAAAGGUGAAAAGGACUUUGAAAAGAGAGUUAAAAGUGCCUGAAAUUGCUGAAAGGGAAGCGAAUGGAACCAGUGUUGCUUGGUGAGAUUGUUACGCGCUAAGGUGAUUGCCUGCUUCUUCAACGCAAGUGUGGUUGUGGGUUUUGAUCUGGGCGCGCGUGGUGGUUCUUGCCUUGUGUGUCAACGCCAGUUCACAAUCGAGGAAAACUCCAGGGACAUGGUAGUUUGCCCCCGGGUGAGCGAAUGUGCUUGGUGGAACUCAUUGGUGAACUGAUUUCUUGUGUCUGGUUGCAGUGUCUCAUGUCCUGGACAACUUCGGUGGGGGACCUCGUCCUUCUUCGGAUUGCUU